GAUGAACGCUAGCUACAGGCUUAACACAUGCAAGUCGAGGGACCGGCGCACGGGUGAGUAACACGUAUCCAACCUGCCCUUUACUCGGGGAUAGCCUUUCGAAAGAAAGAUUAAUAACCGAUAUAAAGGAUGGGGAUGCGUUCCAUUAGGUUGUUGGAGAGGUAACGGCCCAACAAGCCUUCGAUUGGUAGGGUGUCUGAGAGGAAGGUCCCCCACAUUGGAGCGGAGACACGGUCCAAACUCCUACGGGAGGCAGCAGUGAGGAAUAUUGGUAAAUGGUCGUGAGCCUGAACCAGCCAAUGAGCGUGAAGGAUGAAGGCUUAUGGGUCGUAAACUUCUUUUAUAUAAGAAUAUGUAUUAUAUGAAUAAGGAUCGGCUAACUCCGUGCCAGCAGCCGCGGUAAUUC
rnacentral:rRNA from 1 species